rnacentral:rRNA from 1 species
GGCGGUAUGCUUAACACAUGCAAGUCGAACGGUGUCUUCGGACACAGUGGCGGACGGGUGAGUAACGCGUGAGAAUCUGGCUUCAGGUCUGGGACAACCAUUGGAAACGGUGGCUAAUACCGGAUGUGCCGAAAGGUGAAAGAUUAAUUGCCUGAAGAUGAGCUCGCGUCUGAUUAGCUAGUAGGUGGGGUAAAAGCCUACCUAGGCGACGAUCAGUAGCUGGUCUGAGAGGAUGAUCAGCCACACUGGGACUGAGACACGGCCCAGACUCCUACGGGAGGCAGCAGUGGGGAAUUUUCCGCAAUGGGCGAAAGCCUGACGGAGCAAUACCGCGUGAGGGAGGAAGGCUCUUGGGUCGUAAACCUCUUUUCUCAGGGAAGAACACAAUGACGGUACCUGAGGAAUCAGCAUCGGCUAACUCCGUGCCAGCAGCCGCGGUAAUACGGAGGAUGCAAGCGUUAUCCGGAAUGAUUGGGCGUAAAGCGUCCGCAGGUGGCUGUGUAAGUCUGCUGUUAAAGAGUGAGGCUCAACCUCAUAAAAGCAGUGGAAACUACACGGCUAGAGUGCGUUCGGGGCAGAGGGAAUUCCUGGUGUAGCGGUGAAAUGCGUAGAUAUCAGGAAGAACACCGGUGGCGAAAGCGCUCUGCUAGGCCGCAACUGACACUGAGGGACGAAAGCUAGGGGAGCGAAUGGGAUUAGAUAC